rnacentral:rRNA from 1 species
GACGAACGCUGGCGGCGUGCUUAACACAUGCAAGUCGAACGGAAAGGCCUCUUUCGGGGGGUACUCGAGUGGCGAACGGGUGAGUAACACGUGAGUAACCUGCCCUUGACUUUGGGAUAACUUCAGGAAACUGGGGCUAAUACCGGAUAGGAGCUCCUGCUGCAUGGUGGGGGUUGGAAAGUUUCGGCGGUUGGGGAUGGACUCGCGGCUUAUCAGCUUGUUGGUGGGGUAGUGGCUUACCAAGGCUUUGACGGGUAGCCGGCCUGAGAGGGUGACCGGCCACAUUGGGACUGAGAUACGGCCCAGGCUCCUACGGGAGGCAGCAGUGGGGAAUAUUGCACAAUGGGUGGAAGCCUGAUGCAGCAGCGCCGUGUGCGGGAUGACGGCCUUCGGGUUGUAAACCGCUUUCGCUCGUGACGAAGCUUUGUGUGACGGUAGUGGGUAAAGAAGCACCGGCUAACUACGUG